AUAGCAGUGCCAGGCUAAACUAUCUGUAUGUACACAGUAGAGAGGUCGUUGAUAUGCUUACAUCCUCUUCUGCUAUUAAGUUGCAAAAGCAAGCACGAAGGGCCACUUCGAGUCGCUUGGUGACAUAAUGAUUUUAGGAGCAUAACCGGCAAGCCUACCUUCAGUUUUAGCUCGUGGUUUGGAAUUCCUGGGAAGGUCAAUUUGUUAAGGAACUCUGUUGGAC